rnacentral:rRNA from 1 species
UGGUGGAGUGAUCUGUCUGGUUAAUUCCGUUAACGAACGAGACCUUAACCUGCUAAAUAGUUGACUGAAACAUUCGUGUUUUGUAGUUUGACUUCUUAGAGGGACUUUGCGUGUUUAACGCAAGGAAGUUUGAGGCAAUAACA